rnacentral:rRNA from 1 species
AUUGAACGCUGGCGGCAGGCCUAACACAUGCAAGUCGAGCGAGCGGCGGACGGGGGAGAAAUGUCUGGGAAACUGCCUGAGGGAGGGGGAUAACUACUCGAAACGGUAGCUAAUACCGCAUACCAUCAGAUGUGUCCAGAUGGGGGUCGAUAGUAGGUGGGGUAACGGCUCACCUAGGCGACGAUCCCUAGCUGGUCUGAGAGGAUGACCAGCCACACUGGAACUGAGACACGGUCCAUACUCCUACGGUAGUCAGCAGUGGGGAAUAUUGCACAAUGGGCGCAAGCCUGAUGCAGCCAUGCCGCGUGUGUGAAGAAGACCUUCGGGUUGUAAAGCACUUUCAGCGGGGAGGCGUUACCCGCAGAAGAAGCACCGGCUAACUCCGUGCCAGCCGCCGCGGUAAUAC